GACGAACGCUGGCGGCGUGCUUAACACAUGCGAGUCGAACGGAAAGGCCCUGCUUUUGUGGGGUGCUCGAGUGGCGAACGGGUGAGUAACACGUGAGUAACCUGCCCUUGACUUUGGGAUAACUUCAGGAAACUGGGGCUAAUGCCGGAUAGGAGCUCCUGCUGCAUGGUGGGGGUUGGAAAGUUUCGGCGGUUGGGGAUGGACUCGCGGCUUAUCAGCUUGUUGGUGGGGUAGUGGCUUACCAAGGCUUUGACGGGUAGCCGGCCUGAGAGGGUGACCGGCCACAUUGGGACUGAGAUACGGCCCAGACUCCUACGGGAGGCAGCAGUGGGGAAUAUUGCACAAUGGGCGGAAGCCUGAUGCAGCAACGCCGCGUGCGGGAUGACGGCCUUCGGGUUGUAAACCGCUUUCGCCUGUGACGAAGCGUGAGUGACGGUAAUGGGUAAAGAAGCACCGGCUAACUACGUG
rnacentral:rRNA from 1 species